rnacentral:lncRNA from 1 species
AAUUACUUCGUUCCUCUCGCACCCCUUUCACUAUCCUCUCGCAGCAAAGUGCCUUCAAACAUAUACAGACGUAACCUCUGCAAUUUUGAAGUAAAGUUCAAAAGUUUUACAUCCAAAACCACAUCUCUCUAAUUCACUUCUUAGUUUACAAAGACUCGUCCUCUAAUCCUAGCUGGUGCCCAGAUUGUAACAGGGCAUAACCCUGAUUUAUCAUUAAGUACAUGUUGCUUUGCAAGAGCUUUUACAUUCGUUUGAAGGAAACCUUCUACAGAAACUAUUGAAACCCAGUAAAAUAUGAGAGAGGAUUGCAAACCCUGAUAGAGAUUGAAGCCUCUGUAAACGACAGUUUUAUCCAAAGGACAGGAAAGGGAGACGCAACCAUCCGAUUUGACAUCCAAUCGUUACGGCUGAUUGUAACCUCCUUGUAUACAAAAAAAAAAAAAAAUCCGUAAGAGCGAUGCCAUUUAGAAGUAUAUCUUACAUGGUUUAAUAAAAAAAAAUUGCAUGUUUUAUUAUUCAUAGUAGAUUAUGAAUCCCAUGACAUAACGUAUCUUCCUUCAUUGGGGUAGUGAGCAAAGCAUGGAAACAUUGAAAACGGAUUUAAAGUAAGACAAUGAUGUGUCAUCACCUUCAAAUAAGACGGGACUGUCUUAGUCUAUGAUUCUUUUCCCACUAGGGAAAAUAGGCAUGUGGUUUAAUAAUGGGUGAGGUUUGUAUAAGGUGUCGACCUUAUACUAUUGAAGUAAGGUGCACCUCAAAACUAUGCCGAAAAUGCAGUUUCGAUGCCGCUAAGUGUUGCGAUGAUAUGAAAAUUUACUGUUUCUCCCAAUUAUAAAAUUAAAGUUCUAGAAAUUGUGAUGAUCAAGCAGAUUUAUAAAAUCUUGAAAAUAGACGGUCCAGAUAAUGUGUUAGAAGAUGAACUAUUUUUAGGACUAUGAAAUCCCCUUUUUUUUGCAUGCCUAUGAAUCUCAAGGUCAAGGUGAUUGAUUUGAGAGUUUUCUAGCAUAGGAACAACCUUCUCUCGUUGGUUUUUUAGGUGCACUUUACUUGUACAGUAUAAGGCUGAUACCUUAUAUAUUUUUUUUCCUUUGAUAUUUGGUUUAAAAGCUUCUACGUGUUCCUGGUCUUACAGAAGAAAUGAGGUUUUUCUAGAGAGUCAAUCAAGUCAGGUCCAGGGUCGGGUCUGGGUCAAGUCGACUUGGACCCAAACCUAGCCUAGUCGAGCAUAGCCAUACUUAGUACUAGAUCAGGUUAGGUCUGUCUGUGUGUGUGUGUUUUUUUUUUCUAUUGAUCCUACUUGGAUAGGUCUGGGCUAGACCUAGACUCUUGACCUGGUAGGAUCCAUGUCCGUUGGAGUUGGACUUAAACCCCUGGUGCCAUUUCCCAAAACUUAGGCACAGAGCGGAGUAGCCCCCGGGUCGACCCAACCCUAGUUACACUUCUGGUUCCAAAAUAAGAUUCAUUUUUUAUGACCUUGUCUUGUUGUAUGUGACCCAUCCUUUUGUAUUUUUUUGAGGCAUGAGCAUGACAAAAACUACAAGAAGAACAGGGUUACGUUGGUUUCACAGAUACAUUUUGUUAAAAAAUGAGAGUCUUGAUGUCAUCUUAUGUCUGAUGAAAUCACAUGGCCUUAUAAAAGGACCACUUGGAGUUGAGUUACAUUUUUUGCAUUUUCUAUUUUCUUUUUUCUUUUUUUUGUUGAAAACCCUGCAAUUCGGAAAAUUCCAAAUGUGGAUCCGGAUCAGAAUCGUUGGGUCGGUCAUUUAGGUUUCCCCUAUAAUCAAGCCCUAUCAUUAUUAAAUUUUUCAUUUCAGACUUUUGUCAAUCUCAAUCUUUGAUCGGGCCAAUCCACCCGGAUCUUGGUUCUAACUUUGGGUUCAAAUCCAGAAAAUAAAAUAAACGUUGGAACACCAAAAUGAUCAUCUUUCUUUGUUCCGUAAGUGCAUCGAGAUCUUUCUACCGUGGUCUGAGAGUUGAAUUUCAUUUUUGAAUUCGCUAUCGAAUGCAGUUUGGAGUUUGAAAUCAAAUUUGUGGAUAAAAAAAUCAAAAAGGGAAAAAAAAAUUGACAUGCUCUUCAUGGAAUGCAGGCGUAGAUAGAGAGGUAUCUCGAAUAAGGCGUUUGGAUGUGUAUAAAGCACCAUGUGCAGCUCUCUAGACGACCCCGAGGUGUUAGGGGUGGCAAUGGGUCAGGGCCGGACCCGGACCUGGAGCCAAACCCAACCAGAGCCGAAGUCCCUGGAUCGAGACUUGGACUUGAAAAUAUAAUGUGGGACCUAGACUCAUACAUAGACUCAAAAAAUAUAAUGUGGGACCCAAACCCCAGACCUGGACUUAAAAAAUAUAAUAUAGGACCCAGACCCAGAACUCGACCUAACCAGAUCCGACCUAAAAAUUAAAAUAUCUAUAUAUUUAAAUAUAUUUUAUAAAUUGGAAUCCAAAAAUGUAAUAUGAGACCUGGAACAAGACCCACUUGGACUUAAACCCAAACUCAAAUAUUGUUUUGGUCCAAGAUUUAGAAUCAGACCCACCCUGUAGGGUCCAAUAUUUGGACCCAUACCCGAACCCGGAUCCGGUGUUCCAAUUGGGUACCAAGUCAGGUUCAGGGUCCGGGUCCAUUAUCACCCCUUCGUGGUGUUUGAGGUGGGCCUAAUAGCUAUGGGAUAUCACCCCGCUUUUAUAGAAAAAGAUGCACAUUUGUGGUGGAGGCGAAACUAUAUUUUGCCUCCAUUUAACAAGGGCAAUCAAUGCUACAAUUUAACACUAUCCAAACUGGAUCUCAGAGCAUGUGUGUAUAUGAAAGAGAUUGCAUAGCUCUAGGCAGGGGUUGUUAGGACAGUGUACCACAAUGUGAUGUCUAGAGUUUCAUUUUUUUCAUCCUAAUUAAUCACAAAUAAGUGUGCACCUAUGUGUGUUUGUGCACAAGUAAGAGAGAUACAUAGACAUUAUCAUCUGUUAUGUUUAGUAAAGCUUUUUAUAUUUUUUUUACUGUAUAGAAGUUAUAUACUACCUCUCUUUCAGAUUUUGUACGUGUCAUCAUCUCAAUAAGGUGCACCUAAAACAAAUAUUAAAAAAAAAAAGUUGAUAAAAUAAAAUAACCAAAAUACUAUUAAAACUUUCAGCGAUUUUGUUUUAUAUUUUUUGAAAGUACGAGUUUAAAAGGGAGUGGACACCCAAAUUUUGGUGUCCAAAACUUUUGUCAAAAAAAAAUUAAAAAUAAAAUAGUGUAGAGGCAUAACAUUGUGAUUAAAUCCGUCUUAGCCGUUCAUUUAGAUCGAAUGGCGGAAGUAUAGAAAGCUUUCCCAUUACUUUUAUUCUUCUAGACCCGUUCAUUCCUCCCACUUUUAAGGGGAGAAGAGGUGUGGGGAGGGGGGGGGGGGUUGUGAGAGAUAUACAUAUAUUAUUUAGUCAAUCUAGAGAUGAUUCCUAUCAUUGCCCUUCUAUUAUAGUAAUGAUAAACAAAUUGCUUUUAUUCUUCGUAGCCGCAUCACCACCCACUUGUGGAGAUAUAUAUAUAUAUAUAUACCACUUGUGGAUAUAUAUAUAUAGUCCUAGAGAAGACCCCUAACAUUGCUCUUAUAUAAUGAGAGAGAUCUUUCAAUAAUUUUAUCUGUAUCUUGUAAUUUAUUUUUUUAAGGGGUCGUUUGGGUACCAAAAAAUAUAAUGCUUGUGAAAUACAUUACAGUCGUAAUAUAUUACCGGUGUAAUAUAUUACUUGGAAAUAGAUUGUUGUUGUUUGCAUAAGACCUGGAUGCAAUAUGGAAAAUACAUUGCUAUUGUUUGGCUACAUCUGGAAGAACUCUGAGAAAUUUAUUAUUGUCUUUUUAUUUUUUUUAUUGCUCGAACAUUGAUUUGAAGACUUGAUUUAAAUUUCUUAGGCUUAGAAUAUAUCAAUUUGGCAUAAUGAUUCAUAAAUUAUUCGUUAUUAUAAUUAGCAAAAACCAACUCCUACCCAACGUUGUCAGAUUCGUUUCGAAGUUUUAUUUGGUGAAAAAAAUGAAACAAUUUGGUGCUUUGGCCGAUUUGGAGGAAGACUUCAGAUUUUUUUUUAGUUUAAUAUAAAUAAAUUAUAUAUUUAUACAUAAAAAUAAUGGAAAAAUUAAAAAUAAACAUUUCAAAAAAAAAUUAUAUAGAUAUUUUUAAGUAUACCUAAAUCUGAUCAAAACAACUUGAAUCUGAACAAAGCAGCAGCACCACCAAGCUUCACUUCGCUUCGGUCUAGACCUAAAAUGUGAAGACUUGGCCUCUUCAGCCAAAGGAUGCAAAUUUGACAACACUGCUACCAACAUAAAAAUAAUAAUAAUAAUAAGAUAUUAACGUCCAUUAAAUUUGCAUUUCAUAUAUACUGAAAAAUGCUUUGAAAGAAAUAGGGCUUCAAAUGACUUGUAAAAAAUAUAAUAUCUUGGAAUAUGUAAAAAUGGACCAUUUACAAGAAUGGACCUGCGUUACAAAUAUGGAAAGCCUUUUAAACGGAGUUCAACUUUCAAUGGGUUAAUAGAGGCAUACGGGUCCCAUGGGGAAUAGAUUACUCGUCACUUCCCGUAAUUCAUUUCUCAUCCAUUUAUACGGAAAAUGGAUUUCAUGAUUUUCAUCAUAAUUUUGUUUCUUUUCACCAUAAUUCGUUUCAUUUCAAACCUAUUUUUUGUGUACCCAAACAUUGAAGAUGAGCUAUUUCAUGACAAUCCAUUUCCUCAUAAUGGAUUAUCACAUACCCAAACGGAAGUCUUUGGUAAUGUUAAAAAAAAAAACAAAAAAAAACAAAAAAAAACAAAAAAAUCAAAAAAAAAGAAAAUAGAAAAAGAGAUCAUUAGCCAAUGUAGAGGAGACCCCUAAAAUUGGUCUCAUAUAAUAGUGAACAAAUUGCUUGUAUUCUUCUAUUCCUCAAAGCCCUCCCACUUGAGCUAUUCUCCAUUACGUUGUCAUGUUAGGUUUUAGUUUGGUGGACAGGGUUGUACAGACAUAAGGAAAAUGAAAGUUGCAAACGGAUCUUGGUUUUUAAACCUUGAAAUCACAUGGCCUUCCAAAACAAUUGGAAUAUGUAAGUUGUGGACUUAAUUAAAUCCUAGUGAUUAAGGAUUCUAGCUAGUUUGUUUGGUGGUUAAGGUGAGAUGACUAAAGCACUAUGUCUAGGUCUUGAAUUCUAGCAAACCUAUCCCAAAAUAAGAAAUUGGCAAGUUGUUUUCAUGGCAUUAGGAUCGGACUGGUCAUCAAACAUGUAAAAGAUCUGGUCUAUGCAAAACCGGUUAACCGAUGGUCAAACUGGUUAACUAAUGGUUAAAAAAAUAAAUAACAAUUAGGAAUAAUAAUAAAAAAAUGUGAUACAAAUUACAAUAAAAGAUUUCUAAUAUUGUUUAUCCAAUUUAACUGGUCAAAAUUAACUGGUCCAAUUGGCAAAAAAUGGUUAAGCAAUGGUUUUCAAAGGUUUUUGCCAACCCUGAUUUUUUAUUUGGAUAAAAUGGGCCAGGUAGUCAGCACUCUGACCAGUUCGACUAGCUAAUCUGGUAGUCUUUAUUAUUAUGGUUGGAAGUGCACUUUUCUCGAAAAUUGUCUUUAGUUUCUUAAGGGUGCAAUUUUCACUAGGCCGCAAAAAUGUGGUUUAGUAAAGUUGCACAUUAGGACCUUGUUGAAAUGGUAAAUCCUUGUGGCCUGCAAUUCUAUUCCCACCUUUUACUAUAAAAUAAGAAACUCAAAAAAUGGUACAGAUAUGGUAGAUUUGGGAUACUCAAUAUGGACGAUCUAGAAAACAUACUACAAAAUUAGUUUUGAGGCUCGAAAUCCUUUUCCUUUUUCUUCAAAUCCAUGAUCAUCGAGGUCAAGAUGAUAGAUUUAAGAUACUCCGUGAUCUUUAAAACAUACUUCAUUUUUCAAUCAGAUUUAAAGUUCAGCUUUAUAAAGGUGCAGCCCUACCAAAUGCUUUUUUUUUUUUUUAAUGUUUCUACAUGUGUAAUAAUCAAAAUAGCUGUCAAAAAGAAUAUAGUUGUUUUUUUUUUAGAAGAUAAAAUAUUGCAACAUCGUCUUUCUUUCUACCAAAAAAAAAAGCUUUUCAAAAAACCCCCUUAAGAAUGACCUUUUUAAAAUAUGUUCCUUUUUGUUACUUUUGCCGAUCAGUUUUGGGUGGUAGGAUGCAACUCCAUUCGAGCACUAGAUAUUCGUUAAAUAUUUGCUUAAUUAACCCUAUCAACUACCGUUUAGAGAUUGAUCAAAAUUCACAUAAGAGAUCAACAUUUUACCUAUAACUUUAAAUAAGUAACAAAACAUACAUCAAAAUCUGACCAUGAUUUGGAAUUAGUGUUCGUAAAAUCAAACCAGAACGGUUAACCGAUCAAGGGGCUGGGAGCGGUUAGAAUUGGAACCGAACUAACCAAAGCAGUUAACCAGACUAACCUGUCAAGUAGAUUUUUUUUUUAAAAAAAAGGGUAAAAACCCCCCAAAAAAAUUUAAAAAAUAAAAUAAAAAAGCUUAUAUUAAGUACAUACUAUCAUAUUACAUAUAUUUAUCUUACAAAAAAAAAUUGAAACAACGUUUUAUAUAAAUUAGUAUUUGAAAACUAUGGAGAUAUGCAAUACGAUUUAUAAUUUGACAUUUAUACUAUGGAGAUAUGCCAAACCUCACUUGCUCAGUAACUUUUUGAGUUGAGUUUUAACAUGAAAAAAAAAAAAAUUAUAUAAGAUGACUACUUUAAAAUGUAGAAUUAAAAUGCAUAUUUAAAAAAACACGGGUUAAUUUUUUAUCCAUUUCAGCAUGUGGAAACAUGAGAGAUGAGUAAAACACUUUUUAGUUUCUACCUCUUUUCCUCAUAAAAGCUAAUAAACAGAAUUUCAGGAGUAUGAAAUUGCAACAAAUGAUAGAUAACUCAUAACAAAUAAAAAAAUAAAUUAGAAGAAAAUGUCAUAACCAAACAAGAAGUUGAGAACACAAGACAACAGAUACAUCAACAGUCAAUUAUCAAAUUUUUCAUCAAAACAAAAAAAAAAAUCCACAAUAAUCCCAUAAACCAACAAUACAUUAACAAAAAAAUAGGACUAAGAAGCAAAAAAAUGGUGCACGGUUAUCGGAAUGAGGAGCCAUGAGACCUUGAAUCGAUGGGAAUUAUGGAGUAAAACAAAAUCAUUAUACGAACAAAAAAAUAAAUAAAUAAAUAGUGAGAGAAAAAUAAUGAAACACUACUGAUCAUCCAUGAAAAAGAAAAGCAAAGUUGGCCAUUGAUAGAUUAUUCCCCUAAAUUAUCAUGACCAUGAAUCAAUAAAUAACCUCCAUAACCAGAAAAUAAUCACCUCGGCAACAAAGUUAUUCAAGAUAUUAACCUGUUUGCCAUAGAAUUUGUGCCUUUUAUAGACAUGCAACUUAAAAUGUAGAAUUAAGAUGAAAAAAUUAUAUAAGAUUGCAAUUUUAACAUGAAUAACAUAUANNNNNNNNNNNNNNNNNNNNNNNNNNNNNNNNNNNNNNNNNNNNNNNNNNNNNNNNNNNNNNNNNNNNNNNNNNNNNNNNNNNNNNNNNNNNNNNNNNNNNNNNNNNNNNNNNNNNNNNNNNNNNNNNNNNNNNNNNNNNNNNNNNNNNNNNNNNNNNNNNNNNNNNNNNNNNNNNNNNNNNNNNNNNNNNNNNNNGAAAGAAAUUUUUUUCUCAUAUUCAUCACACAAAAAAUAUAUUUUUAUAAAAAAAAAUAUAACAUUAAAAACAAUCCAACAAGCUCGCCAAAAAUAUCAAACAUUAAAAAGAAAAAACAUAUUUUUCUCAUAUUCAUCACAAAAAACAUAUUUUUGUAAAAAAAAUAUAUAACAUUAAAAACAAUCCAACAAGCUCACCAAAAAUAUAUGAAAUAAAAAAAAAAAAAAAAAUUUACUCAUAUUCAUCACAAAUAACAUAUUUUUAUAAAAAUAAAAUGUAAUUUUAUUAAAAUAUAUAUAUAUUUAAGAACCCUAAAAUCGAGCCAAAGAACACAUAAAUUUUAGAGUCAAAAUCAACCCCAAAUCUUUCUUUUUUUGAAUAAAUUGACAUGGGGAUAUGAUAGAUACUUCAAUUAGGAUUCAGAUGCCCCAAAUUUCAUGAAGAUCCAUUCACUAUUGAGAUUGUUAUGCAAAAAAUGGCAGAUAUUUCACUUCACAAAAUUUUCAAAACAAAACGCAGCAAAAAAAAAUCAUAUCAAUAAAUUUACUCAAUAAUAAAUCAACAUAGCUAAUGUAUUCGAUUGAUGAAGCCUUGAUGAUCGAACUUCACUGAUCAAUUCGAAAAAAAACGAUCAAUACAUAGAUCAAAAAUCAAUUUUUUUCGUCAAAUAUAGUUCUUCGCUGGUGCUCACUUUUGGCCGAAAUCAACCUCAAAUAUUCAUCUUUUUCGACAAAUCGCAAUUGGGAAAAGUUUAAACCUUCAAUAAUGCAUCAAAUUCCUCCAUUUCCAUGCAUAUUCAUGGGGUAUUGAAGCUCAGAUUGAUAAAAUGGAGGAAAUUUUACAGUUUCAGAAAUCCACCAUUUUCAAUCCACCAAAAAUCGUU